AAGGUCUCCGUAGGUGAACCUGCGGAGGGAUCAUUACACAAAUGAAAAUAUGAAGGCCCUUCAAACCGGCUGGAUUAUUUUUCUUCACCCUUGUCUUUUGCGCACUUGUUGUUUCCUGGGCGGGUUCGCUCGCCACCAGGACCACACCAUAAACCUUUUUGUUAAUGCAAUCAGCGUCAGUAAAAAGUAAUAAUUAUUUUACAACUUUCAACAACGGAUCUCUUGGUUCUGGCAUCGAUGAAGAACGCAGCGAAAUGCGAUACGUAGUGUGAAUUGCAGAAUUCAGUGAAUCAUCGAAUCUUUGAACGCACAUUGCGCCCUUUGGUAUUCCAAAGGGCAUGCCUGUUCGAGCGUCAUUUGUACCCUCAAGCUUUGCUUGGUGUUGGGCGUUGUUUGUCUUUGGCCUUGCCCAAAGACUCGCCUUAAAACAAUUGGCAGCCGGCCUACUGGUUUCGCAGCGCAGCACAUUUUUGCGCUUGCAAUCAGCAAAAGAGGUUGGCCAUCCAUCAAGACUACAUUUAUACGUUUGACCUCGGAUCAGGUAGGGAUACCCGCUGAACUUAAGCAUA
rnacentral:rRNA from 1 species